rnacentral:lncRNA from 1 species
UUGAGAGAUCUUCGGGAUAUUAAUUAUGAAAGGUUAGGAGAUGCUCUGAUACCACGAAAAUUACUUCUAAUUUUUGAUAUAACAUAUGCUAAUUAAAGGGAGGUUAAUUCCCUGCAAAUCAUUCUACACGUCAAAGAAUUUCUCGCAAUCAUUUUUGAUCCAUUUAUGCUAUGUGCAUUGCACAUUCGUAAAUUAUUGGUUUGUUCUAUUGAAAACAAAAAGAGAGAGAGAGAGAAAAUAAUCUAUUCGUUUCUCACGAAGCAACGCUCCCCAUCACCAAUAAUAAUUUAUUCAAUUCCGACGAGGAAUUCAGUGAUGGUCCGGAGAAUGAAUCUUGAAAGGGAAAAAGGGAAGAUCGAAAGCAGAACCUUGGCAAUUCCAUUUCCUCCAUGACGGAUAUCAGAACAAGAGAUCAAGAGCCAGGGAGAAAGAAUCCGCAUAAAACAUUGAAAGGAGACGAUCGUACCUGCUUUAUUCCAAUCCGAUCUUUGUCCUUUGCUGGUGCCCGAUAGUUGUUCUUAGAAGGUAGAAGGAGGAGAAUGGGAACGGCCGGACCCUUCCAUUUCUUCCCAAGAUUUAUAACACGGAGGUGGUGGGUGAGCGGUUGGGUUGGACGAUCGCAUCCAAAUCUCGUUGAGAUCGAAUUCAAAUCAGAGAGAGAGAGAGAGAGAGAGAGAGUAAGUUUNNNNNNNNNNNNNNNNNNNNAAUACAGAGAGAGAGAGAGAGAGAGAGAGAGAAUUUUGGGGAAAUCAAUCUCAAAGGCCGCCUGGCAUUUUUGAGGACCAACGGGAGUAGUGGGGCGUAAAUUGGUCGAGUCGUACCGAAUUGGCUCGGGAUCCAAACCCACUACUCUCCACGUAGAGGAAAAAUUCGGAUCCACCGACCGGACCAGUUCGAUCACAAACCAACAAAUACAACUACUGAUCAAAAAGAAGAGAAAAGCGAUGGAGAUAUAUAUAUUUGUACGUGCCGGUUUGCGGUUGGACCGAUCGACGACGAUAGAUCUCAUCUAGCUAAUGAUUUUUCUUUCGGAUAAUGACCGGUUCUUAACCAACCUACACAAAACAUUGAGUCUGGCUUCGGGUUGCUAUCCGCGUGGCAAAGCAAUAAUAGCAAUUUUGUGAUGGCCCAUGACUUGGUAUACAGCUAUGCAUGGAAUGAGACGGUGGAUGGGACCAUCAACGACGUGACUCCAGUUUAUUACUCCAGCUUGCCGUAAGAAACUAAAUUGGGUUUGAUUCACCCUUUUCCUUGUAUAUAUGUGUAACUUAUUUUUGUCACUGGAAUGGCUUAAGACGUGAAGGGAAGGCUGAUAUAAAUGCUGGUGGGGUUGGUGGGAGCCCACAUGCUAUGCAUGAGAGGCAGGCAGGUAGUUGAGACUUGAGACCACCCUUUCGAAGAUGGCCACUCAAGCUGCUGUACAAGGGCCGCUCUCACUCUUGCAAUGAAAGUUGGCAUUAAAUAGCCAUAGUUUUUCUCCAGCAUUCCACUUGAAAAUUACUUGACGCAGUUACUUGCCGAACAAUGCGUAAAAAGAAUUCUUCAUUGUUGCGUGAAAUAUAAUUUGAUCAAAAAUUUGAAAGCAAUGAAUGCAAACUUGUGUUUAAAUUCUACGGAAGGCUUUUUGGUCCAGCUCCUGAUGGUGUCAGGGGCGGAACUUGCUACACGCUGACCUGUUUUCACCCAUCAGCAGUGGCUUUACAAACCUGAACAUCCAGUAGAUAAACUGAUCUACUGGGCUGAAAGGCUCGUGAUAUAAUAUGCCCGGCCCAGGAUUUGGCCCGGGCAUAAACAAGAGGCCUAGGGCAAAUAUCAGGUUGGCUUGAAAGCCGCUACUGCCGUGGGUAUGAUUAAUCACGCAACGUUAUAUCUAAUAUCCUUGGAUACUGAGCAGUUCCUACCAAACCAUAUAUAUAUAUAUAUAUAUAUAUAUAUAUAUAUAUAUAUANNNNNNNNNNNNNNNNNNNNNNNNNNNNNNNNNNNNNNNNNNNNNNNNNNNNNNNNNNNNNNNNNNNNNNNNNNNNNNNNNNNNNNNNNNNNNNNNNNNNNNNNNNNNNNNNNNNNNNNNNNNNNNNNNNNNNNNNNNNNNNNNNNNNNNNNNNNNNNNNNNNNNNNNNNNNNNNNNNNNNNNNNNNNNNNNNNNNNNNNNNNNNNNNNNNNNNNNNNNNNNNNNNNNNNNNNNNNNNNNNNNNNNNNNNNNNNNNNNNNNNNNNNNNNNNNNNNNNNNNNNNNNNNNNNNNNNNNNNNNNNNNNNNNNNNNNNNNNNNNNNNNNNNNNNNNNNNNNNNNNNNNNNNNNNNNNNNNNNNNNNNNNNNNNNNNNNNNNNNNNNNNNNNNNNNNNNNNNNNNNNNNNNNNNNNNNNNNNNNNNNNNNNNNNNNNNNNNNNNNNNNNNNNNNNNNNNNNNNNNNNNNNNNNNNNNNNNNNNNNNNNNNNNNNNNNNNNNNNNNNNNNNNNNNNNNNNNNNNNNNNNNNNNNNNNNNNNNNNNNNNNNNNNNNNNNNNNNNNNNNNNNNNNNNNNNNNNNNNNNNNNNNNNNNNNNNNNNNNNNNNNNNNNNNNNNNNNNNNNNNNNNNNNNNNNNNNNNNNNNNNNNNNNNNNNNNNNNNNNNNNNNNNNNNNNNNNNNNNNNNNNNNNNNNNNNNNNNNNNNNNNNNNNNNNNNNNNNNNNNNNNNNNNNNNNNNNNNNNNNNNNNNNNNNNNNNNNNNNNNNNNNNNNNNNNNNNNNNNNNNNNNNNNNNNNNNNNNNNNNNNNNNNNNNNNNNNNNNNNNNNNNNNNNNNNNNNNNNNNNNNNNNNNNNNNNNNNNNNNNNNNNNNNNNNNNNNNNNNNNNNNNNNNNNNNNNNNNNNNNNNNNNNNNNNNNNNNNNNNNNNNNNNNNNNNNNNNNNNNNNNNNNNNNNNNNNNNNNNNNNNNNNNNNNNNNNNNNNNNNNNNNNNNNNNNNNNNNNNNNNNNNNNNNNNNNNNNNNNNNNNNNNNNNNNNNNNNNNNNNNNNNNNNNNNNNNNNNNNNNNNNNNNNNNNNNNNNNNNNNNNNNNNNNNNNNNNNNNNNNNNNNNNNNNNNNNNNNNNNNNNNNNNNNNNNNNNNNNNNNNNNNNNNNNNNNNNNNNNNNNNNNNNNNNNNNNNNNNNNNNNNNUGCCCGGCACGGCCCGGCACUGUAGCUAUCGGGCCGUGCCACGGCCCGGCCCAGUGCCCAACUCUAAUCUUAUAACUUGCAAAUGGGCGGUAUAAGUCGGCUUAACCCAUGCAUCGGCCUGCACGAAGAUGAAACGUAAUUGGGAAAUGGGACAAAACGAGCGUGCCUAAGCGUGUCAUCGAGAGCUGGCUGACCAAGAGCCAGACCAUCGAACUUCCUUCCCCCGCUAUCAUUACCUGCUUUUGACCCUCCAUCCCGGUCUCCUCGUCCAUCCAUCAUCGGCCUCUGCACCCACACCACCACCUUAUCAUGCCCCCCUCCUCCAACAGCCCCCACCCCAACUAUUUCAAUUAUUUUUCUAAUUAUUAUUGCUAUGCUGCUACUACUAUUAUUAUUUCCUUAGUUUGUUGUCAUACUCCUCUACCAUCAUUAUCGCCAUACAGGUUACUUAUGGUCGAUCCUAGCAACCGACACAUCAUAUGCUUCAUGGUAUGUUAGCAAUAGCUCAAACAUGCCUACUAACCAUCAGAUAUGACCCGUCCCGAAGCUUAAGUGGCUCAUUUCAAUUUAGAAAAAAUCAUGCAUUGCCUUGAGAUUUAUGGGGGUCAUAGUCAAAUGGAGGCUCAACUGUAUAAUAAUAAAACAAAAUUACUUAUUAAUUCGUGGCUCAAAUUGCUACAACGAUCAAGGAUUGGUAUGGUAUAUGGAUAGACCGGCGGUUUCGGUUGGGCCCUAUUUAUUGCUCGGUGAACCGCCAAUUUUAUAUCGAAUCGGUGAUUGAGCAAUGAUCUUGCGGGUGACCUCUAGCUCUUCACGUAUCAUAGUCCAAUUUGUGCUACACCCAAUUCUCAUUGCUCUAAGACGUAGGGCAUUAUUUUUCUUGCUCAAGUUUGUACACCGUUUACACCUAAACAUUUAAAGCUAAAGGCAGAUAUUGUUUCCCAUUCUCAAGGUUAUUGCUGUACACCUACUUUUUCUUUCUUAAAAGAAGUUAAUCCAUGCGCACCAUGCAAUGGAGAUUCAUAUACAAUACAUUGGUAUUAAUGUUAAUCAGUCCAUAAUAUAUCCAAGGUGUUUAAUGUUGCGUCAAAAAUUGAUCAACAAAAACGCAUGAAUCUCAAAAUGUUUCAUGUGAAAACGAAGGUUCCACCAAGCAGCAACCUUAGAAGAUUAGCCAUCUACUCUUAUCCACCACUCUUCGUCAAGAGGGGACCUAAAGAUUAUUACCCAAGUAUUCUUUGAGAGCACAAAUAAUCUGAGGCUAUAAUGACUCGAACAUGGUUGAUCCUCCUAGCCAACCAACGAGGCUAUAAUCAUCCACUCGACUUCCAAGGAUUAACCGACAACCUUCUAAUCUUGAUCACUUUGUAACCGUGUGUCAUCAUUUUUUUUUCCUCUUUUGAAUAUCUGUCAUGUGCGUUACACGGCUUCUACUGUGCAUUCUGCAGCAACAUCGAGGAUAUCUCAAUGACUAAUUAAAGCUAUAGCUCUAGCUAGGAACCCUGGUUACUUCCAGAACAUUAUUUUUUAUUAAAAAAAAAGAAUCCAAUUAACUUUCUCAAUCUAUUACAAUGUAAUUCCAUGAGGACCUGUUACUUGUAUGCAUUUCCUAGUCAUUACUCUUGCAACAAGUCUCAAUUCCAAGCCAAACAUAAUCUUCUUCUUUUUAUAAGAUUAAUGCAUGUAAUUAAUUAGCGGUAACAAUAACCAACUAAUCUUCUUUCUAUUAAUUCCUUGUAAUUAGUGGAUUGGAAGACAGUUAUAACCACGACUCUUUACAUCUUCACAUGAGUCUUGCUUACACGUUAUUAAUGUACAAUAAACACGCCCUUAGAAGCAAUCAAAAUGUUGACGGAUGUGGUGAGGCUCGUCCCUCUCCUUCCUGCUGAACUUCUGGACGGUGGCUUUGGUCCUCGUUCUUCUCAGAUCUCUGGGGACCUCAGGAGGCCUGACCGACCUAAUGAGGGCCCAGUUCACUCCCUUGAAGAAGUCGUGCCUCUUGAUCUCCACUGAGCCCUUCAAGCUCCCUAUCCUCCUCUUCGGGUUCUUCACCAAGAGCUUGCUUAUGAGGUCUUGAGCUCUUAAAAUCUCAUCCAAGUCCUUACCACAGGUUGCCACCUUAGGAAAAGUGAGGGGCUGCUUGAUGAUGUUGGCCAGCGUCUUCUCAUUAUCCUCACCUUUGAAUGGCGUCCUCCCAUACAUCAUCUCAUAUAAGAACACCCCAAAGGUCCACCAAUCUACGGCGCUCCCGUGGCCAGCGCCGGAGAUCACCUCCGGCGCAAGGUACUCGUGAGUGCCCACGAAUGACUUGGACCGUGCAGCGAUCGGCUCGGCCACGAGCUCGGGGUCAAGCUCCUCAAAACCAUCUUCCUUGGUGACCGUCUGCGGUGCACGCCUAGCCCUCUUGCUGCUCCUGAUCGCCGCGCCAUAGAACCAAGAGAGCACCGGCUGCAUCGGCGGCACGCAGGAUGAGCUCGAGCCCUUCACAUUCUUCUCCACGGACUUGCAGUCUUGCCUUCCCCUAAGAAGCCUCGGAACUACAUCACAUUUUAACGAGAGAUCGAAGUCAGAAAGCAUGAUGUGGCCAUCAUCCCUGACGAGAACGUUCUCCGGCUUCAGGUCCCGGUAUACCACCCCCAUCAUGUGGAGGUACUCCAGAGCCAAGAGCGUCUCCGCGGCAUAAAACCUAAAUUUCAGUCAACUUUUCAUUAUUUUCAGUAUUUAUCUAUUAUAACAGACCAGACCGACGGAGCAAGAAUAAAAGCAAAACAAAGGGAGGGACGAUUGCAUGUUGACUAAUUGACCACCUGGCAGAAGAGAUGGUGAAGCGCCUUCCCGGCUGUCGUUGUCGGACGACGUGCAAAUCGCCACCGGGACAGAACUCCAUGGCAAGGCAGGAAUGGUGCGCCGCCUCGAACUCGGCGUAGAGAGUGGGCAGGAAGGGGUGAUCGAGCGUUCGAAGGAUCUCCCUUUCGGUCUCCGCCCUCUGGAGCUUCCUCCGGAAGGCGAGGGCCUCCUUGUCCACCACUUUCAUAGCAUAGAGGCAGCCCGCGGACAUGGGAUCUCGGAGCUGGCACAGGUACACGUUCCCGAGGUCGCCGCUCCCCAGCCGCCGCACGAGGCGGAAGUGGUCGAGCCCCACGUGGCCCGCGGCGGCCUGGACCCUCCGAAUGGCCUCCCACUCGACCUGGUUGGCCUUGUGGGGCUUGUGCUGGGCCGCACUGCAGCAGUACGAGCGCACCGACACGGAGCUCGAGCUCCCCAAGCUCCGGCGGGAGUCGGGGACCGUCAAGGAAGAGCAGCUGCUGUCGUAGUCGGACUCCUCUCGGCUAGUCGCCAUGGUAAUGGAAGAGGAGCCCUCGCCAGCUCCUCUUAAUUAUAUAGCAGCCAUGGCUUUCUGGUUUUGGACGGGGGUCGUAUCCUCCGCGCGAAUCCACCGUUGGAUCGCGCAAUGGUCCCUUCCAGAUCUAUGCAGGCGGAUGAAGGGAGGAGUUCGGAGUUCUUGGAGAUCUGUGCGUGCCAAGAUCCAACGGUCGACGUCGCGAAAGAUGCAAAACCCGCACCCGUUCGUUUUGGAGAAGGGCGAGGCUUGCACAUUGGCUGGCAAGGAGCUUCUCGCUGCGUUGUCUUGUUAUGUUUUAGGACUGAAAUACCCAUCUAAUUUCCCAUUUUCACCUCCUUUCCUACGUAAGAUUCCGGUGGUGUUCUUAUGAUUCCUUCUGAAAGGACAAGAACACCUCGUUCCAUCGAGCUUUGUUGAUCAAGUGAGUACUGUUUGGCUGCAAGGAAAUGGGAAAUGAUCGGGGGAGGCGAUCAGUAAACUGUAAGGCUCGGGGUAUUAUUGAAGGCUAGAGGGGAGGAGCGGGGUGCACGGAUCACCCGUGCCGCAUUAAUAAUUUCCCACCUCUCACGCACAUUCGAUAGGUGUCCCCUUUUUCCUCCUCUCAUUUUCCUCGGCGGGUUCAGGUUGUGUCUUUCGCGCGAAGGAAUGAUUCUCCUGCUUUCACUUCCUCAACCAUUGGAUCUUAAAUUUUUAUGUUGGAGCUUAAAACAUCAAACACCUAUGCAUUCAAGCAAUAUAAAACCUAUUAUGUCUCUCCAUUCCUAACAACAGCUGGGAAUAGGCAUAUGUUAAGGAGAUAGAUGGGAGAGAUAUAUUGAGGUGUCCACUAGCAAUAAAAAUUCUUUGGUGAGGACGCCGAAAAAUAUCCCAUGGGGCGGACUUUCUAUUUUGCCAUAUUUUCUCUAUUGCUCAUCUUAAAGAGGAAACCUACAAAUCAAAUCGAGAUGGAACUUUUGCUACUGAUAGAGUCUAUCAGUUUGAUACUUUAGAAAAUAAAAAUAAAAAAAUUGUAGCAACGAUAAAAGAAACCAUUUGUUCGCAUUCUCUCUUCUUUCCUUUUAAGCCUCUCUCCAUCUGUUUUCUUUCUCGUCAAACCAUCUUUUCCAUCCGUAAGACGUUCCUUCUCCUCCCUGAGUCUCCUUUUUCUCGUUCAAAGACUUCUCUCUUUUUCAGGAUCCAAGAAAUUUACAAAACUAAUGAGUAUGCAUUAUUUGGCCAUGUACUAUAUGCUGAUAAACAUCAUGUUCUGGAAACUGGUGAGUACCAUAUUCUGCUAAUGAAAAAAGGUAAGCAAAAUUUUGUGCAUGUGUAGCUGUUUCAGGAGUAGAAUACAGAUAGAGCUUUAAAAAUAUAACUUCAUAAAUGGGCCAUUCUGACUGCCGCUUACUUUAUAAUGCUUUCUAGCUCAUCUAGGUUUUUUAGGCACCACAGCAAAUCUUGGUAUCCAAAAUCAUUUGUAGAACCUCUGACAUUUCGUUUCUCACUGCACAUCGAUAUAGGAAAACAGUUGGUCAAAUUUUACAGAGAAUUUUUGAACAUUUUAAAGUCUAAUUUAGUUGACGCCAUUGGGCCGUCCCCUUCCCCCUCACUGUGCACUAUGAACCUGUGACUUGCCAGCCAAGUUCAGGCCAUCAUUUUCUAGCAUCGGCCGCAUAUUUUUUAUGGGAAAUAAUAUAUUGAAAACAAAAAACCGUAUCAGAAGGUAUCAUGGUAGUCAAAAAGGUUCAAAGAGCCCCGUCAAAAAAUAUAAGAAAGAUCUCCUUCCUUUUAUCCAUCCAUAUGGUGAAGAAUAAAAUGAUUUCUUUUUCUGAAGUAUGUACUUUUUUUGUUGGUGGAUACUGGCACUGAGAUUCUUGAGUAGAUGUAGAUACUUCUUAGAUUCCACUUGUUCAUAUAUCGAAUUCGAGCCUGCCUCCUCUGAUCCUUCCCAGCUCUUCUUCCCUUCCACUGCCGCUAGAGAUCUUAUCAAUCACUUGUUGGCUUUCGUGCCCGGAAGAGCUGCAGCAAAGUAAGAGGCAAAAUAUAGUGGAAACCCAAGACUCAAAUCCCUGGGGCAGGCUUUUCUCCCCACCCCUCAACUAUUCCCAACAACCAAAUUAAGAUCCUGUCUCCAUUCCUUCAUUUCCAUGUUUAAUAAAUUAUUAGAUCUUAUUAAUUCAGAAAUGAAAUGUCAUCACCAAGAAGAACUCAUUUUAUCCCAUAUAUAAGACUCCAUGGCAAUAUGUAAUGACCAGUAAAUUUUUGGAGAUAAUUGCCAUAGCAUGACAGCAGCCUCCACAGCAUGAAAACUCCCAACAGGAGCCAAUAUUUAUUUCCCGGUUACCCAUCUGCAGCUCCAUACGCAUUAAUCUCAAUGAAGAGGACCUUGAAAUGAAACACAGCAAAGCGAACAAUUCCGUAGUUAUUAACCGUUGGGAAAUCUCUACAAUAUUUUAGAUAAUAAUAUAGUCGCAUUAUUUCUGAAAAUAUACGUAUGCAACAUUCUAGAGAGUUGCACCGCUUCGAAUGUAUGCAAUCUUUGGACUUUUUUGAAUGUACUUAUAAGAAAAUAUAAAAUAUAUAAAUAAAUCUACCUUAUCCUACCAGAUUAAGCUUUUAGAAAAAGUGAUGAUUUCAAUUUAUAUAUUUUAUAUUUUCUUAGAGUGCCGGCGUACGAGAAAUCGAGAUAUGCGGCUUGCUUUUUCUGAUUUUCUAAUUACAACUUUUCUUUUCUCAAACUCUUCUUCUAUACUUCAUCUUUUUGGGUGUGGAUUCCUGAUUAAAGGGAAUUAAGAAGUGCAAUCAUGUCUUUUGCACCUAUAAAAUGGGAAAUCACUAUAUUUAAGAAAGCUUCCUAUAAGUACCUUACUCGGCUAAAUUCUUUUCCUUCUUUACACUUCUUUCUAUUUUCUCGAACAUACAUCAAUUCACCUUUAGCAACAAUGAUGCCGUAGCAGAAUUUAGCAACAAUAUUGGAAAGAUCAAUCCAAAAUUAGGAAGACGAGAAUAAAGUGUCAGCUCUAGGCAUUGCCUCUGCUUGUCGGAGUAGCGGAUUCUGAGGCUCGUAGUAGGGGGAGGAGGAGGAGGUCGGAGGAAAAAAACCAGAGAAGGAAACGGUGAGAGGGAAAUUCGGUAUGAUGCCUGAACAGGUUGGCAAGUAUAAAACCCCACACUCUGCAAUAUUAGAAUUUCGGUAUCUUAAUAGAAGACUAUAUAGAUUAUGUCACAUCCUAACAGUCGCGCAUGGCAAUCUUUGCAUGCAAAAAGAUUUAUAAUCCAUGUUUUAUUGUUUUACCACGGAAAUUGUCUACUUCAGCAAUGCAUUGCAUUAAGUUGAGAAAAAAAAAUACUAGAAAAAUUGUGGAUAAAGAAAAUGACAUAAUCAGUAGCUAAGUGGAUUUUGUUUUGAGAAAAAAUAGACAUACAUUUUAGGCAAGAAUCCGGAAAAGGCUGUUGCUAGUGAAACCAAUCCAUAGAACCCAAACUUGCAAAUUGCAGCAACGGGAUGGCACAAUUUUAUCCAUAUUGUCUCGUCAAACUUAGUCACAUGGUUUGUGAUCCACAAAGUGGUCAACUGAGAGCCGGUCCAACAAACUUCUUACCGUAGUCAUUCCAUUUUUUUUUAGCACAUCAGCUGCGCACACUAAUCUAGUGUGAGCAGUAGCUAACUGAAUUUAUACAAAAAAAACUACACAGUGGCAGAGGGAAAGAAACAUGCCGAGUCUAGAUGAUCCCUUCAGAAUGUUGGGCAGUAAAUGAGACGAUUCAAUCAGCCGCUCUGUUUGCCUUCCGAAAUAAAUGCACGGCAUGCAAAGCACUGUAUUUCCUCAGCAUCAGUUGGAUGUUGUCUAGAAGUAGGUGCUCCAUCUCUCCCCACCCUUCUCCAGUAUGUGCUCAAUCAUCACGGCUGAGUCCUUAUAAAGAAUAAUAUACCCAGCCUCUAGUACACAUUCCGUAUAGGAGAGUCCCUUCCAAGCAGUUCACCCCAAAAGUAUAAGUUUCAAAACUACGGUGCCCCCCGCAACAAUUAAUUUAGAGCUUUAGUCUCCGAUCAUGAACGUCACUCCAUCAUUUUCACCAUCAGCGAGUAGACUACCAUUAAAAUUCAUUUUAAGACGGCCAAGAAGUGGGGCUCAAGGCAAUGACAUGCCUAGGCUUCUGCCGUGCAACAAACUGGUAAGGCCCGGGUUGUUCCACGCCCCGUGGGCGCCAGCCGCGGACGUUGGCACGGAUCCUCACGUCCACGCGUCAAUUUAUCGGGCAUUCCCGCCUUUCUCCAUUUAAUCGCCUAUUUGCCGUCUUCGGCUUUUUUUUUUUGUUCCCUCUUGAGACGGAGAGCAAUGAAAAAGAAAUAUAGAAGUGAAAAAUAAAGGAAGAGAAAAGAAAGACAAAACAGAGAAAAAACGGCAUAAUAUGAGAGCCUCCGAAUUUCGCUGAGGCCGCACUCGGAGAGGUGAGCAUUGGGGUUUUAAUGCCAAUGGAUUCCCCGGAGCCCACGAAGCCUGCCUUCACCGCCCCUCCCGCGGUUCAGGUACAUUCUUUGCCCUCUNNNNNNNNNNNNNNNNNNNNNNNNNNNNNNNNNNNNNNNNNNNNNNNNNNNNNNNNNNNNNNNNNNNNNNNNNNNNNNNNNNNNNNNNNNNNNNNNNNNNNNNNNNNNNNNNNNNNNNNNNNNNCCACCGUAAAUCUGUUGUCUGUUUGCGAUUUUCGGAAAGAUCUGAUGCUUGGCCUUUUUGGAAUGGUAUCGUGUUUUCUUGUGUCAAUUUCUACAUUUUUUACCUCGUUUUGCGGUGGCUUAGAUGCUCUGCUUUCCAUCUCUACCAUCCUCGUUUAUUUGUAAUGAAAGAUCUCGGUAUUUCUGGCUUUCGAAUCUAUUAUCUCUAUUUCAUUUAUUUUUCUUUUUUUGGUUUAAUUUGGGAACUAAGUCUUUGGAUUUUGGGUUGAUGGUUCUUGGAUCGAAUUUAGAGUGUAUCUUGAACUGAUAUCUUUUGAUUGAAAUUGGGUUUUGAGAUGGAUGUAGAGGAUUUUAGUUGUUCUAGGGUUUCAUCGGGAAGCUUCUUUAAGCACCCCAUCCCUGGGUAUUCUUUUGAGGAUUUCAAUGCAAUACGGGAUUGGUGUAGGUUUAAACAUUGACAUCUCCACAUGUGGAACAGAAUUUUCAAGUGACAUUUUCAUGGGUAGAGUGGUGGUAUUUUUCAUUGACAAUGUCCCUUUUUUUGUUUUUAGUAUGAAUUUUUAAUUUUCUGUGGUGUUUUAAGUAGGGGUCUGUUUCUGGAUGCUUGUUAAUAUUUAUAUUGUGUUUUAGAAAGUUCUUUUACUUGCAUGAUCACAUGUCUUCUCGAAUCUAGUUGCAUGAUCUUUAAGAAUAGACCCAACAUUUCCUUUAGUUGUUUUCCUAGCGAAUUGCCUUUCUCAAAAUAGUUACUAUUUUAUGUUCUCUUUAACAAAUGUGCUUUGAGAGUGGUUGUGGCUUGUCUGGAGAUCUUGCUCCCUUCAUUGUUUCAGUUUGUAGCUCUGGGUUCCGGUUAGUGGUCAUUGAUACAUAAAACUGCUAUUUAUUAGUUUGAAAAUUUGCAGUUUGCUGUAACACACCAACAAUUUACUGAAAAGAUAUUCUUUUAAGUUUUGCAAGUUUCCAAUUGUCUCGAUUUAUGCAUUUAAUACACAAUUAAAUUAUAGUGACCACAAUUUUAGACUAUAUAAAUCAGCGGUUGGUGAUUUUCCUUAGGACUUAUUUGGUUCGUGGGAAAAGAAGGAAGGAAAGUGUGGUCAAGGGAAAAAAAAGCCUCUUGUUUGGUUGGAGUUUUCAAGGAUGAGAGAUGGAAAAGUAGCAUUACCGUGAAAAUAAGAUUCCUAUGUUUUAUGAGAAAAAAACCUAUGGGGGACAUAGCAAAGGUACUUUCCCACCGGUUGGAAAUUAGGGUCUUUUUUUUUGCGCAAAAGUACCCUUAAGCCAUCAAAAUUCAUGGUAAGGACUUUCUCUUUAUUAAGGGUAUAAUAGGUAUUUCAUCCAACUUUUUUUAGUAAAGUAGAUGUUCAACUAAACAUAAGCCAAUUUGGAAACUGCAACUUUGCCAUGAUCAACCAAAACCAUUUUUCCAGGCAUCAUAUUUUCAGGAAUCUUCUUCUCAGGAACAACAUUUCUGGAAAAAUUCUUCCCGUGAACCAAAUGAGCCUUAGAGUUUUCAUUGCCUUUAGUGAUGCUAGUAAAGCUGGUGAAGUGCGAUUUGAAUUUCCCUUGUUUUGCGGCCUUUUUGAUCUGGGUUUUCCUUUAUCAUAUUGUUCUAGGAUUUUCCUUUCUCCAGCUAUGUUAGUAAUUUGUCUCCUAUACCGUUAGUCAAUGCCAAGCUUGGUGUGCCGGCUUAUGGAGAUAUCAAUUUUCCAUCCCCAGAACCUGUGUUUACAUCGCCACAUGUUAAUCACCCUAGAAAACUGAAAAGGUAUCAGUCUUUUUAGAUGUUACUUAUCUAGGCAGAAUAGUUUUAGAUGAUUAAAAUCGUCUUAUUACGCCUGUUGUUCUUAUCCAGACCUCAACAUCUCUUCCUGAAUGGUGCCGAGAAGUUUCAUCCUGUGUAUGCCUAUAAUGCCACAACAUGCUCAGAAAGUGCACAGAUUAAUGGACCAUUUAUCUCAACAUCGAUGUUUCAAUUUGUCCCUUGCACUCAGAAAGAAUGUGACGAUGAUUGUGACUCCCAGGAUCAACCUUGCAGCAGUCCUUCAAGUUGUGUUGAUGCUUUUCUCACAAAUCCUUUGGAAAUUUGUGACAACCCCUCUGGUUCACUGGAUCUUUGUUCGAAACAAUCUGCCGAAGUGCCUGAACCAAUACAGGCUGACUGUACUAGUGUCAAUGAAAUACAAAUGAAAUGUUGCAAGGAGGAUUUUCGCCAAUUGCAACCUAUUACUCCAUCUGUUUUGGUGAAUGAGAGUACAGCUGAUUCCAUGGAGUGUUAAACUUCUUCUGAUUUACCUGAUCUGUGUUCUGAGCAGGCUUCUGAUCUUCCUCAAGCUUUACAGACUGAUUUUACAAGCACCAAGGAAACCAAUGCAGAGAUUCAUGUCUCCAAUGUCGAGAAAUGUAUGGUUACUAAAUCUAUUGAAAGUUUAGGUUCAUCACAUCAAGCUAAAGAGGGCCCUGCUGGAGAAGAACCAGCUUGCAUUGUUGCUCAAAAUGAAAGCAAGUUGAAAAUGGCUGAUGAGGCCAAGGAAAUUAAUGAGAGAUCACUUGAGCAUCCAGGACUGGUUUCUACUGAUGUCAAUAUUGGUUUGGAUUCAUGCAUAGUAGCUACUUGCUCCCAUCACGAGCCAAAAUCAAUGGAUCAGAAUGCGGCAAGUUAUCCUUGUUUUGGCUUAAAGAAUAAGGAUGGCGAUGUUGUGGACCUUAAUAAGGCAAACCCUACCACUUCAGUGAUGGGUCCCAAUGGAACAGAAGAUGCUAAUAAGGAUCUUGCUGAAACUGGAAAAUGGGGUGAGCUAGAUUCAUCCCCUCAAUGGCUACCAGAAACUCUUCAGGACACUCAGGCAGUUGACAAGCAUGUUGAUGAUUCGAGAACAAUGCACAUUGUAUCUGUUGAGAACCAGUUUCCUUAUUAUUAGGAGGCACAUAUGAGCUCUUAUAUUGCAUGCCUUAAGCUUCCAAACCAGACUAGUAAAGUAGGACAUUAUCCUUGCCUUAUUGUGUAAUUCUAUUUGAAUUAAAAAAAUCUUUUUUAUUUGGUGAAAUCCUUGUUGAUAUGUCUUUGAUACUUACAUUUGAAAAUCAUGCUAAUAUUCUUCUUUCAAUCUGCCAUCAACACUUUUAUGUAUUUUUCUGCAAAAUUUCCAUUUACAACACAUUUGUGCACUCUCAUUCCAAUCUAGCGUAAUAAGGUUAUAUAAUUCAAUUAUGCUCAUCCAUUUUAUACUCAUGUAAAUUUUGGAACAAAAUGCUCAUGAUAUUCAAAAUUUGCUAUACAACUUUGCAAUGUAUGUCCUAUCAUGCAUUAUACAGCUUUGCAAUGUAUGUCCUAUCAUGCAUUCAAGGAGCCCUCAGUCUCUGGACUUUGAAUUGCGCAGUGUAAAUAUCACAUAAUAGUAUCUGGUUAGCAAGCUUACUAGAUCAUGACAAACAAUCCAGAGUCAUAUCACCUUCUGUGAGUUAUAAAUUGAGCUAGCUAACUUCCUGAUAUUUGUUGCAAGAGGAUGGCCAGGGGGUGCUGGUGUGAUGUUUAUCCAGUGACAAGGUGCUUAUGGUCAUGCUAAUCGUAAAAUUGUACAUGAUAAACAUUCCAAUAAAAUGCUUUUGCUUUCCAUGUUCAAAACAACUGCUUCAACAAAGAUUAACCUGGAACAACGUGAUCUAAAGCCCAAUCAUGCAAAGAUGGAUGGUGGCAAAAGAAAACAUCUUGAAACUUUCAAUAAAGAUUUUUUAUCCAUGGACUAAAGUUCUUUGCACGUGAGGGGUUUGUGGUGAUCAGGAGUUAUGAAUGGACAUGAUCGUUGGAUGAACAUAUUAGAGCAAACGAGAUGCUGAAGUUGAAUCUUACAAGCUGGUGCAGGAAUGAAACUGCAAACAGGAACAAACUUUGGGCAAGGGAACAAUAAACCCUGCCCACAAUUCAAAGUGUGAUGUUGAAUUGGAGUGGAUUGACUCAUCAUGGGUAGUUUCGACACCAUGUUGCAGUGGUUUUAUUUCUAGAGACUUUUAAUUUUUAGCCAUGAAAUGUUCAAAUCAAGUUGAUAUCAAGCAACAGUCUUAGAGGGAUGGAACGACUUUCAGAACAUAAAUAGGCUGGCUCUCUGUGACAAACUAUGUUCAGCUGCCAUCCAUCUUAUAAAGUCUUGAGUUCUGAGAGGCUUCAUUAUAUAAUUAGUUGCUGCACAUGAUUUGACAGCAUAUAUAUAUAUAUGUAUAUAUUCUUACUUGCUAAUUUCUUAGUUUAUGAAUGCUUGGAGCUUCGGUGCCUAGAAUUUUUCUUAUACUUUUUAGAGUUUUUCAGUAGAUGCCAAAAUAUUUCGUUUGAAAUAUUUGACGGCUUCUUGUUAGUUUUGAAGGAAUUUCCUUGCCUUAGUGCGACUUGUCACAAAUUGUGAAGGAUAAUUUUAUAAGCACUUGAUGAAAUGUUGUCUGAACCAUUUAAUGCUAUGUCUAGGGUCACCAAUUUCACCUUUGUUGUUCUAUACAUAUGCUUUGUGUUGAUGAUGCCUAUUAUAUUAUGAAAUAUUUCACCUUAUUCGUGGAACUUGAUCUCUAACAAGAUAAGUACUUUCUUUUACUCAAAGCAUCUUUUGGUUAUUCAUUGCAUAGGAAGUUCAUUUCAACCCCCUGUCUCCUGCACCGAAAGGAAAAGGGGAACACAUGAGUAUUAGCUUACAAGAAUAUGUAAUGGAUAAUUAUGUGUAGGACUAUCAAUGACUUAGUUUGACCUUUUGCUUCUACCUGGCUUGAUGCCAAAAAUUUUAGGCACUGGUCCUUAUUUGCAACCUUUAAAGUAUCCUUAAUUUCAACCUUCAAGUUUGACCAAACUACCUUAUCUCAUGCUCAGACUCUAGCGGUGCUUAUAAUCUAGAGCAUAUGAAAUUAUAAUGAAGGACAUGGGAAGAGUGUACAGAAUAAAUAGGAAGUUUGAGGAAACUCCCAAACUUGGAGAGAUAGUGAUUGAAGUUGUGAGGCUUGGGUGCCUUUAGGGUCAUGGACGCCUUUUGUUUAAUAUGUGAAGUGACAACAGGCAAAGCAAGAAAAGUGAAUGAUGGAUGUGUGCAAGGUGGAAGGUAUAUAACAUUUUGAGAGUUAGAUUAGUAGUUCUUUUUUCCUCCUAAUUUUGAAAGAACUAGUAAUAGCCACAUGUUUAUUAUCGGUUUCAUAUAUAUAUAUAUAUAUAUAUAACUUUCAAAAGCACAGGCUUGACACGAUUAAUUCUGGUGGUGGUUAUAAUCUAGAAAAUAUGAAAAAGUAAUGAGGGACAAGGGAAAAGUAUAGGAAUAAUUUGAGGAAACUCACAAACUUGGAGUGGUGGUUAUUGAAAUAAGUAGGCUUGUCCGUCUUCAAGGUCACGGUAUCCUUUUUUCUGUGCGAAGUAACAAUGAUGAGAGCAAGAAAUGGAAUGAUGGAUGUGGGGAAGUUAUAAGAAGGUAUAUAAUUUGAAAUUAGCAGAAAAAUCAAUCAAUUUGAGGGUUAGUUGAGCGACUUUUUUUCCUCCUAAUUUUGAAAGAAUAAUCUGUGAUUAUAAACAUGUUUAUUGUUAGCUUGUAUUUGUUUAAUAUCAAAGGUGCAAGGUUGACCCAAUUUCUAUUGCGCUUGGACUUGAACUGGAGCCAGUCCUUAUCAAUCAGUAUGUGAACACCUUUGACUAAUCUUUUGAUGAACCUCAUAAAAUGAGAAUGUACCCCUUCCUGAUGCCAUGCUAUUUUGACUUGAAUUAUAGAAUUUAAGAAAAUCAUAAAUUUGUAUUUUCUCUUGUGUCUAUGGGUCAUAUUGGAGUUGACUGUCCCUGUUAAGAGCUUCUCUGUUAGUAUGCUUUCUUCUAUGUUCAGAGAUACUCAAUGACACCAUUGUCUUUAUUCUUCUUUUUCGGUAUAUAUUUAUCAACUUCAUUUUCAUAAAAUUUGUAAUUGUCCUUCCCUUUCUUGAAGUAUUUCGAGAUAGCAGCCCUGCAUUUUAUUGCGAGGACAGAUGCGGUUCUAUAAGAAAUAAUUAGGUUCGGAUCACUUAAUGCUUUCUAGGACUAGGGUCAUGUCUGGUAGUUAGAAGAUUUAACUUUUUUAAACCUUUCUUUUGUUAGGAAUCUUGUUCCCUUAUUAGGAAUCCAGUAUGGGGAAGGAGAGGAGGAAGCAUAUUGUGUCAAUAGGCUGGCCUGCUCUGGCUAUCUUAAAGGCCUGGCCAGAAAACAUUCAGGCUUGGGCUCAAGAUUUUUUUUUGGGUCUGUGAGUUGCUGGGCCUGAAACUGAACUUUUAGUAGUUUAUGAUGACCGUAUUUCUUAAUGAUUUCGUUCUUCCCAUUAUUCUACUGACAGUAACAACUUGACACAGAACUUGGUGUAGAAUAGACUAUUUGUUUUUGCAAUUUAAUUUUGCAAGCAUACCCAACUCAUUCGAGAAUUUUUACUUUAUUCUCAGUAGAAUGUUUUAAGCAAAAACAUCAUGCUGAUAUCUACUUGCUUAAUUCCAAAUUAGAUUUUGAAUAGUUACAGAUUUACUGAUUUAACAUUUCAUAAUUUUAACCAUAUGAUCCUCAGUUUUGCAUUGCUGUUCAGUUUUAUUUUUUAUGGGUUAUCUUCACUGCAUAGGAGGAUCUUUUCUGAGUUCAUCAGAUGUGAGGUCCAAUAGUUCUUGGGAAUUUCAAAGCUAUUUGUACUAGAUUCAUUUUUUCGGUUGCUAUACUUUUCAGAUUUUAUUGCAUUUAAAUGAUUAUAAUAAUCAAUGUAGGAGGGUACACAACAUCAACGUGGCACGCGCAAACAUCUUCAAUUUGAGGCUGUGUGCAUCGGAAACUCUAGGAACUCCACCAAUGAUGUGUCCAAUGCAGAGUCACCAGCAACUCCUCUGAACAUGGGUACCAUAAGUGCUUCUUAUGCAGAAUCGGCUGCAACCUCCAGUAACAAGCAAUCGGUUCAAUCUUUUUCUGGGAAUUUUCUGUGCAGAUUGCUACUUAAGAUUGAUAGCUCAGGCCAAAAGAAGGGAAGCUUCCCUGCGAGAGCUCCUAAGCCAUCUGGUGUUGGCUUUCAUUUAAAUAGCAUUGGAAGUUCAGGAUCAAUCAACUGUAAUGUGAACAUGCAUGAUACAAGUUUUCGAGGACAGAAGUCACACUCGGGGGGUAAUAGUGAGGUUUCACAAGAGUUAAAGAAUCACUUAGCUUCAACGAGCUUAAAAGGACAGGAUUCAGCUAUAUUAACUGUGAUUUUGGAGAAUAAUUUUGCCAAUGGAAACAGUGAAGAGCAAAAUUUAGAGAAUCAGGAAAUAAAACUGCCAAAUUCUUCAGUUAGUUACCAACCUCCACUUGAUGCCAAACCUCUUCAAAGCUCUCUGCAGCCCAAGUUUAUUGAUCACUACAUGCUUUCUUGUAAUAUGAAAAGGCCACUUUCAGAUGGUGCUAGCAGUUCCAUGGAGUCAACUCAAACAUGUCCUGGAAAGAAGAGGUAGUGUGUUCAUGUUGGUACACUUGAUUUUGUUUUUUCUCCACUUCUAGGUAUAAUUCCCACUCCUAUAACUUGUUUCAUUGUUAUUUGGAACCUGAGAUGUCCAGGAAAAGGGCACCUGAAAAUGAUGGGCACAAGCAUUGCAACUGUAAGAGAUCAAAGUGCCUGAAACUGUCAGUGUUUCUUGAAUCUUGUAUUGAGAUAAAUCUAUGAUUUUUUGCUGGUCAUAAGUUCAUGCCUUCUUUUUAUCUUAUUUUUCCAGCUACUGUGACUGCUUUGCUGCUGGAACACUUUGCACCAAAGCUUGUGCAUGCCAAGAGUGCUUUAACAGAUCUGAACAUGAAGAUACUGUUCAUGCAGCCAGGCAACAGAUAGAAUCUCGAAAUCCACUGGCCUUUGCUCCUAAGGUUGUCCUGCAGGUCACCAAUCCACUGAAAGAUGAUGGAGUAAGAACUUCCUUACUGUGCCUGCUUGUGCAUCAUGUGUCAUUCCUUCCCAUGGCGAAUAACAUUAAAGCUGUCACAUUCUGCAGGAGAAUAAGCACAUGACACCAGCCUCAGCCAGACAUAAAAGAGGAUGCAGUUGCAAGAAGUCACUUUGCUUGAAAAAAUACUGUGAAUGCUAUCAGGUUUCUUGAGCAGUUGCAUGAAAUUUUAGCUAUUUGUUCUUUUCUUUAUAUGCAUCUUGAAUAAUACUUGUUUCUAAUUAUUUCUAUCCUGAAGGCUGGUGUUGGUUGUUCGUUUGGAUGCCGAUGUGAAGGUUGUAAGAAUACGUUUGGCAGGAAAGAUGGUAAGAACUUGAAACUAAUUUUGUGUUGCCUCCUAAAAUCAAGUAGCCAUUGUACUGUAACCAGAGCAACAGCCGUUAGUUUAACUGAUCCAGAUUUCCAGUAAAAUCAGUGGGUACCUAACUGCUCAAAUCUUAUUCCCAGAUGUUUGUUAUGUGAUAUCGAGUACUAUGUCAAUAGGAAUAGUAAGAGAAUUGCUUUCAUGUUGGCCUGUUUUGGAAGUGUCGGCAUUUCAUGCAUCAGAAAUUGAAAGUAGAGAUGCUUUUGUAAUCCAUGCAGCAGCCAUUAUGACAUCUGCUCAAACUAGAUAAAAUAAGAGAGCUUUACGGUAGCUAGACAAGACAAGGGCAUCAUUUGGGUCAUUUGCUUACUCUAUUAUUGGUAAAAUACUGCAUCAAGAGAAACAAAAGACAUGUCUUACAUCUGUAGCUAAUUUCUGAUAUGAUUAAUGCUUUAUUGUGGCGACAAAUUUAUUUUGUCAUUUUUUAUUUGGUUCAAAUAAUAUAUAAUAUUACACAUGUAAAAGAAUACUUUUUUGUGAUAAGCUGAAAAUUACAUUACUGGAAGUUAUUGUAAGAAAAAAGAAGGCAUAAAUAUGAUAACUGAUUAACUGUAGUGUCAAGCCUUCCAUCUUUCCUGAAUGGCUUUGCAAUUCUUCAUCAUUCAUUCCAAUUUGGAGCUAUAUACUUUGUCAUCUUGAGCUAUAUUCCUCCGAAAGUUUCAAUACACAUGCUUGGACCAUCUUGGUUUGUUUUCCGCACUUUAUUCAUAAUUUGCACAACUUAAAGCUUCCUUUCAUAUACUCCUUUCCAACCUUAUCCUAGUUUUACCUCUUCAUCAUGCUCAUCUAAUGCAGUUGGCGCUCUUUAUGGUGUAAAUGAUCUAAUCCAUACAACACCGAGGGUUGUCAGUUUUUCAAGGUCUUAGAACUAUAUAUGCAAGUGUCAAUGUACAUGGUUGUACCAUCUUGGUUUGUUUUCCACAACUUAAUUCAUAAUCUACACAACUUUAUAGCUGCCUUUGACCUAGUCCUUCCUCACCUUAGUCUAGUCUUACCUCCCCAUCAUGCUAAUCUAAUGCAGUUGGUGCUCUUUAUGGUGCAAUCUAAUCCAUACAACAUUGAGGGUCUUAUUGUCAAUUUUUUCGGACUUGGAGCCUAGGGAACUAUUUCUGUAAGGCUGCAAUGUGGGCAGGUUCGUUCGGGUUGAAGGCUAGGGCUAACCUGCCUAACCUUUAUAUCUUCCAAACCUUAUCCAACACGACCUUACCUCCCACCUGAAUUGACUGCAUUACAGGUUAAGCUAAAUUCAGGUUGGGUCUGAUUGAGCUGAGCUGGGGUAGAUUAAUUGGGUUAGGUAUGCGUGUUCAAGUAAUUUAAGGUUGGCAAACUUGCGUAUUAUGUGUUAUCAGUCCAUAUGUUAACGUCAAUAGAAAGAAGAUUAUCACAGAUUGAUGAGAUAAUCACUGAAACCAACUCAACACAUGAACUUCAGUUGCCUGUGCUUAAAUGGUCGUGGAGUUGGAUUCCUCAGCGUCAUAUUUUUUCGAUUAGAAGUUUUUGCAGUUGUGGAGUAACGCUAGCAUCCUUUAGGUUUGAGAUGGACUUUAUGUCUGGUAAUCUCAUGAUGACAUCAGCACAAGAAUACUGAUGGACAACACUAGCCUUUCCAUGGGCAGUUGAACUAAUUGAGAUGAACCUAGGCAUUUGCUUAAUGUAUCUUUCAAGAGAAUGUAAAUUGGUUGAAUUCAAGUUACUUUAAGAAUGGUUUCCUAUGAUGACUUGGUGAAUAGAUUUAUUGAUGGGUUAUUAAGUUCUUAUAGCUGGACUGUUAAAUAAUGAUGAAUUAAUGGUGAUAAGCAUGGAACAUUUAUCAUAAUGCUGAUUCAGAGGGAUUUCUUCUAUGCUAUGUCGGAGUCAUGUGUCUAUUGCAACAAUAGAAUGAUUUUUUAUUUUUGAAGCUAUCCCAAUAAACCCGCUUGCCCAGGAAUCUAGAAGAAUCUGUUUAUUAUCUCGUGGUUGUCUUUUGGAUGAUGUUUAUGAUGAGGUAUUUCUAGACAUUGGUUUAUAUCGCCAUCGUUCACCAGCAGAUGGUAAAUAUAUAGAGGAUAAUGUACUAGAUGCAAGUUCUUGUGUCUUUUGGAUCACAAGUUAUUACAGUUUUCUCCACAUGGGAGAAUUCGUUGCAAAUAUUUGAUUUUUUUUUCCUUUUAGAGAUAUUAUUUUGUGUAAUUUUUAAUUUUUUAACUGAGUGGGAUGAUGUAGCAUAUGUCAGGAUGGUCUUAUCUCACUUGUAGAUGUGAUGGCAUCCGACUUAAGAGAGGGGUUUUCUGUUGGUAUUUUGAUUAGAACUCUUGGUUUGAUUUGAAAUAUUGAAUUAAAUUGGAGCUUUUAUUUGAUUGAGUUUUUUUAGUAUGAUCUGUGUGAAAGACUCACACCCAUAUAAUGUAAUAAAUUAGGAAUAUUUUUCACUUUAGUUCUUCAAUUAUGAUUAGGUUUAAAUUUAUCUUGAGGAUCUUUUAUUACAUAUGAAUUAAAAUAAGUUUUCUUUGUGGAGGGGUGGGGGGGCUUGGACCUCCAAAAAUUUUUCUUUCCCUUCUGUUUCUUUUUCUUGUGCUACUGCUCUCUCCGCUUAUUCCCCUUCCUGCUCUAGCCGGGGCUGCAACUGCUAAUAGCACUCCUCUCAUCUUUUUCUUUUUCUUUUUCUUUGUCCAUUCAACAUCAACCCUUCUUUUUCAACACAUUCCGCUUUUGUCAACAAUUUGUUGCAGCACUCUAGUUAUUUUUCUUGUUGUCGUCGUCGUCUUCUUUUCCUUGUCUAUCUUUUUUUCUUAAUCUUUUGCACCACGUUUGGAGAAUAAAGAUUCAAUGUAGCUAUUUUUCAUGCUUUGUAAUAUGUGGAAAAUGUGAUGUCUUUGUAUAUGUAUUUGCUUAAGUUAACAACUGGAAUACCUUCAUGUUGACUAGUAUAAUAUUGUUUAGCGGGCUAUGAAGAAAACAAUGUUCCUCAUAUAAUACAACCUAGAUAUUGCAAGUUUAAUUCUAUGUUGAUGAAAUAUUAUAUUUAUCUCUGCCUCGAUGGUUGUGACAAAAGAUAGAAGAAGAUAGCAUACACAAGGUGCAUGCUUUAUUUCAUGCACCAGUUGCAAGAUUUUGGUGAGGAUUUAAAAAUUUUUGCAGCCUUGAAAAUCUGGCAGAUGCUGGAAGCUGGGUUGUUAACAAAGUUUUAUGCAGAUGGAUGGAGAAGGAAUCUGUUCUGAAAUUAUCUGCAAUAAUCUUCAAAUAAAUCUCACUGUAGUAGUUUGAAGCGUUUGCAGACAAUAUUGUGGGAUAAAACAUUGUGAUACCGUUUAAAAUUAUCACUACUCUUUUCCCCCAUACUUUCUGGUGGAGCCACCAAAAGAAAAAUGUGUUUGUAUUACAGGUUGUGGUGAAAUCAUCGAAAUAGAGCAUAAAAAGUUGGAAGGUAGCUGGGAGAGCGAUCCAUCUUGUGCGAUACUCGAAGGCAUAGAUCUCAAGAGGGAAGCAGUAGUCAGCACCAACCAGCGUCGGUCACACCUUUCCCCUGAUACACCAUCAAUCCUAGGUCAAAGGUAUGAUUCAUUUGAUGAAAGAGCAGGUAAUCUUAUUUAGUACAACAUAACGUGCUACUGUUAUGUUAGUUCUUACACUAACAUGGGGCGGACUGCUUGAUUGCUUUUGUUCUUCCCUCGUGUUACCUGUUGUGCAGUGGAAGUGAUGUACCCAGAUCUCAUUUCCCUGCAAGAUAUUAUGCGUCACGAGAAUCCAGUGCAUCAAGUUUACCAUAUUAUGGAGGGUCUCCAAGUCCUCCAGUAGAUUUGAUGAGCAAUAAUGCAUCAGAACGUGCAGGAGAAAAAACUUUGCCUCUAGUCCCCGAUUAUCAGGAACCCGAAUGUCGUCCAUCUGCAGUGGAAGUGGAACCAUUCUCUCAUGGAUGGGGUGGGUUUCCGGACGUGUGCAAUCCCUGGCCAAAUCCUUCAAGUGCUCGUUGCGUCUCUGUUGCAUCGAAAAUUAGAAGACCAAAGAUUUUGCAGAUAAAGUUGUUUCAAGGAAGUGCUCGCUUAUCAGAGGGUUCACUCUGUUGGCGCAGUUCACCAGCAACUCCGCCACCUCCAUUAGGUGAAAGCAGGUUGGUAGUGGAGCCAGAUUCUGGCAGUGGGGUGCAUGACAAUCCGGAGGAUGAUGAUACUCCCGAGGUUUUGAAGGACAACCGCAAGGCAGCCAUGGCAAGAUCUCCCAAACAGAAGAGGGUAUCUCCACCAAACAAACGCGCGCACGAGAGUAGGUCUGGCUCUUCAUCGGGUCUCAGGAGUGGUCGCAAAUUCAUAUUGCACUCUCUGCCCUCUUUUCCUCCGCGUACUCCGUACGACAAUUAUUCUAGAGGCAAUGGUGCGUGAACUGCCUUCCACUAAUUUUGAGGCAAGUACCGUCGACAUUUUCUAGGUGUUAGAAUUGCAAUUGCUUUUAAGUGCCUUGUGGAGUGACAAUCUUGAAUCUUCCAUGUCUUUCGCCAGGAUAUGAUGUCACGAUCCGUAUCUCAGUCGGCAUGUGCUGAUUUGUGAGAAAAAGCAGCAGCCGUGAGGACUUGGAAUCUCGGCAGAAGGGGCAUGGGUUGGGUACCGGUGGUACAUAAACUGUCAAUUUAUUACUCUAAUACCCUACCAUUCUGCGAAUGCACUGCUUCAUAUCAAGUAACGAAUAUGUUCAGAAAAUAUUCAAAAAGAAAAUGAAUGCAAGCUACCUGCACACCAGCCAAUUAGCUACUGCCUUUUCUCUCGUCAGGGUGCUGGUAGUUUUUCCUUUAAGGUUGCUAUCUGUGUCUUCCACCAGAAGAGGAGGUACUCUUAUUAAUAAACUUGCCACUGUUUGUUGGUCUGAAAUAAAAGCCUCUACCCCAAUGGUAGAUUGGAAACAUCACGAGCCUCGAACGGUUGGUCCCACGACCCUUGCUCCGUGCACUCUGUGAUGUGAGAAUGAUCUCCGAGAGUAACGCUUGUAGCUUGGGUUUGGAUUCCUGGUGCUGGCUGAUGCCUUGAGUUACUGAAAAUCUAAUAAUCUAGCUGCGAGUUCCCCUUGAUGUGUUUGAGCCAAUAUUCAAAAUUAAAUAUAAUAUGUACGUUGUGGCAGCUAAAACCGUUCGUGCUUUUGGCAUGAAAUUGAAUGUUUUUGUUUUUUUGGUCAGCAGAUGCAUCAAUACUUUGCGAGAUGCAUACCCCGUAGGAAAGAUUUUGGGUCGACCCUGUUGUAAGACAAUUUGUUAUAAAGUAAACUAGUCUUUUACAGGCUAGGCGUCCCCUCUCUAAAACGAGUGUUUCCGGAUAAUGGAUUUGCUGUAGUAGAUACCAGCCACCUUGGAACGUCGACGACACUCCUGUGCGUUGGGGACUCUACCUGGAGCAGCGAGGUGGAGUGUGCGUGUAUGUAUACAUGUGUGUGUGUGUGUGUAUAUAUAUAUAUAUAUAUAUAUAUAUAUAGUAGNNNNNNNNNNNNNNNNNNNNGUGUGUGUGUGUGUGUAUAUAUAUAUAUAUAUAUAUAUAUAUAUAUAGGGCAAGUGGCCCUCCGGCUAAUUGGUCAACUGACUCUUGGAAGUUGCUACGAUACGUAUGGCCCUCGCAUAUCUUUCGAGCAGCUAGUGGGUUCAGCAAUUUGUUUGGCGAAAAGACUAAAAUGUACAUAUAAUCCGAACAAAGCGAACAGAGUGCUCCAUUUGAACAUCCUGAAAGGCCAUGACACAAUGUCCAUGUGCGUGCAAGUGCUCAGACCCUGCACGGUAAUAAAGUAUUAAUAAAAAAGAAACAGCUUAAUUUUCGUCUAACCGCCUCCGAACAUAAAAGCUUUGAUAACACCAUAAAGAGAAUAAAGAAUAUGUUUUGCACAGUCAUAAAUAACCUGCAAGGAUGAUUUAUGUGUGAUGCAUGUAUUUAAUGUAACUUUUCUGGUGAGAAAACAGAGAUGAAGCUACUCUUUUUAAUAUUAAUAUCAAUAUUAAUGUUAUUAUAUUAAUAUUAUUAUUUUUAUUAUUAUUGUUGCUGUUAUUGUUAUUAUUAUUUUUGUUUUAUUGUUACCGCUGCCGCUGUUUCUGCUACUAUUAUUUAUUACUGGCGUAAGCGGUGGCGUAACAUCCAAGCCACAACAGAAAAUAUUGUACGAAUAAAUGCUAAUCCAGUUCAAACAAACAAAAGUAAAGCUAAAAUCUGAAUCCAUACACUAAUCUCAGAAAGGGUAACUGAAUUAUGCAAUGUUCAAAAGACACCAAUACCAAUGCCAUCCAACUAAUAAUGUUUAUGAGUGUGCAUAUGGACAAAGUUUGUAAAUAAAAUGCCGGACCAAAAGACGCUAGGAUGAUCGAAUGCAGCUAUAUCAUAUGCCCCAAACACAUCUCUAACAGUAUCCAUAAUUUUAUCUAUUCAUUACAGCUAUAGGAUAUCUUUGCUUUCCCCACUCCACAAUAUUAUCCAAAAUCAAAGCUGAAUACUCCAACUAGGAGCGAGAUCCAUCAAGCCCCAGUGUGGCGGUAAGCCACUUGCAUACAUCUUCCAUCUCUUCAGGGAUUGUGUAGUGACCAAGCCUGCAAAGUUUCGAUUUCCUAAACAUAAAAAUGCAACCAUGUUUGGCCGACAGAAUCAAAGUAGUGCAAGAAACUGCCACAUACCCAUUGUAAGUUUUGAAAGUACAACUCUGAAAAUUAGUAGAUCUCAACACCUCAGCAGAUUUCUCUCCAUGUUUAUAGAGCACAACUUCAUCCCCUGCAUUUAUCCCCAUCCAAAAAAAAUAAAAUCAUCAAGUAGGCUUGCAUAAUGCUCUUUACGUACAAAGUGAAUCAAAGAACUUAUGAUUUACCAAGUCAAUUAUUUAUUCUGGAAAGAGGAGUACAGCUUUCUAGCAGACCAUCAAAUUAGUUAUGAACAAAUGAGACUAAAAUGCUACAGUUAAGUUUUUUUUUGGUGGUUAAAAAUUCCUGCCCACUCAAGUUUGAACCUGAGAACUCUCACUAGGAGAGGAAGAGUACCAGCUGGCUAACAGCUGAGCUACAGUUAUGCUUUUUGAAGGAUUUGAAAGUGAAAUCAUGAUUUAAAAAGCUCCAGGGCUUACUUAAGGCUCCAUUCAUAGUUUUAAUGCCUCAAUGCUUAAGAUGGAUUAUGAUUCCUAGAGGAUCAUGCAACAAUUAUCUGCAUCUGACCUAAGGCAGUAAGGACUAAGGAGUAUUCCAGGACUCUGAAAUUUAUAUUUAAGUAAAAGUGCCAUCAGUUCCUUCUGCCAGUUAGAAUGCAUGUGGCUGUUAAAGAUUUAAGAUAUUGUUAAGUUCUAUUUAAGAUUGAUUUGCCAUAUUAUGUUCUUAAUCUAGAUAAGUUUUCAGGUUUUGCUAUAACAAAUACAUCUUUAUGAAUUUGGACUUUGGAGGAUGUGAGAUUCUUAUUAUGCAUAUAAUCAUAGAAAUACCAGCUCAAAGAGAGUCUCCUCAGACUCCCUAUGAGAGUCCAGUGACAUUAGAAACCUUUUUAAAUAGAGCUUUAGAGUGUUCAAGUCUUGAAGCAAGAAAUCUAAUUAGGGAUGUCAUGGUAAUUGACAAGUUGGGAAAUAUAGCUGCUCUUAUAUAGUGUCAGGAUUUUUUCUCACAUAUACAGCCAAGGAAUAUCAAAUCUUGGGAUUGUGCAGUCUUUAGGUAAUCAGCACCGGACUUGGAGAAAGGCAGUGAGGUUUAAGAAGGACAAGGAGCAAAAUACCUGGGGACCACAACACAGGACUCUAAUUUCCAAAUUUACAUUACCACAACACAGGACUCUAAUUUCCAAAUUUACAUUACCACAACACAGGACUCUAAUUUCCAAAUUUACAUUCCUCAACUCUGGAUUUUGGGUCGGCCUACAUCAUUAGUUUUAAGUUGUAAUGGCCUAACUCCUUCAGUCCUGAAGGUUUCAGGAUUACCCAAGGUAGACUUCUUUUCUGAGUGAUACUUGGUGAAUUGCAUCCAGAUAUCUGGUUCAGGUGUCGAGGAAGCCUUUGCAGAGGGCUUUUGAAAGUCACAAAUCUUAGCUUACUCUACGAUGAUUUUCUUGAUUUUGUCAAACUUUCAUUGAGACAAGGGGCAUUGGACCAUUAAACUUCAACUGGGCAAAUCCUGCCCUUUGGCCUAAGAUUUUAUAAGACCUUCAAACCCAAAAAACAUUGAUUCUAAAUAUAUGCAUAAAAUACAUGAUCAAAAGAGAAACAAAAUUAUUGCCAAACAAUUAAAAUUGCCUUUUACAUGAUCGAAAAGAAUAAUGUUAAAUACUCCUAAUCCUUCAAACCAUGCCUUCUUUUUUCAAAAGAAAGAUGGCCCAUAAUGCAUCAUAUAUUGGACUACUAAACCUUAUGAAACACCACCUCUCAGCUGACCUUACAAAAUCUAAGGUUCCCUAGAUUUCAGAAAAUAAAAACUAACCUAAUUAAGAUUGCAGCCUAUUUUGGGAAUGAGCAAGAGACAUCUUAAAAUGUGGUUUAGGCUUAACUUGGAUUAUGUUUAGUUAUUUCCAAUUUUUUGUUUACUUUCAGUUUAUCUGCUUUUUUAUUGAGCUUUAACGUUUUCUUCUUAAAAAAAGAAUUAUAGGCAUAGCUACUUAUUUCAUACGUUUUCACAAUUUUUACUGACCUUUAGCUAUUCUAAGUUGGUUUGUAAGUCCUAUUUUUUAGUGGGAUUAUUGCCUACAAGUCCUGCUUUGGGUUCUAGGUUGGGUGUGGAAGGUUCAAGUCAUUACAAUUGCUUUUUGCUUCAAACCGAUAACCAAUCGAUUCUCAUCUCCCUUGUUAAAUAAGAAUUCUUAGCAAGUCUUACUAUGUCUUGGGUAUAGAAGGGAAAGAAGAGGAUACAAUCAAUUUUGGUAUUAAAUAAUGAUUUUUGCUCCUUUGUUCCUGUCCAUCUCAGUUCUCUGUAUCUAGCUCAUCUAUUCAUUAUUUAUACACAAGCGGUGGCCUAAAUCAUGAAAAUAAUCGCUUUUAAGAGCAUAAAAUUAUUCCCUACACCAAUUUUGUGAUAAUUUGAAUUUGGUAGCUUUUUAGCUAUUAUUGAUUAUGCAAGAUGAUUUUCAGAUCCUAUGAUAUUAUAGAUGUGAUCAAUCCUGAACUCUCUACAUUGGCAGUGGAGGAUGCAGGUUGGCGCGUUGAUGGAGGUGGAGGGUGAGGGCAGGAGGUUGUAGGGUUGAUUGUGGACAAAGUGACAGGAAUGGGCAUAAGGACAGAUGAUACUAGAGGGGGUAUGGGGCCUAAGGUUUAACUUGUUGGAGGCACCAACAGCAGGCAAGGACAAGAGAAGACAAUUGGCAGUUGGUGAGGGGUUAAGGAGAAGAUGGGAGUGGAGAAGGAAAAAUAAGGGUCACUUGGUUUGUAGUUCAACUUGUAUUAAGCAUUUUGUAUAUAAUAUUAUGUACGUCUACUAUAUUAUACUAAUGUGCAUAUUAUGUAUAUACUAUAUAUUGGGUUGGGAAAUUGCCAACUUGGGUUGAACCCAGCUCUGAUCCAGUAAAUAUUUAGCUAAUCAGAUUGGGCUAGUUAUCGAGUUGCCCAUCUCAAAAAGAUCAUUUGAUACAAUAUUAAUCGGUCCAAUCCUCAGACUAGCGUAGAUACCAGAAGUAGAUUAGUAGAAUUUCAGUUUGGAUGCUUCCUCGAAAAUAGCUUUUCUACCUGAUCAAAGUCAACACCAUGGUAAGGAAUGCUACACAAACACAGAGAUGAGAAUCAGACCUGGACAUGUAUCCAAGUUUUCAGCACAGCAAGACGGGAAAAAAAGAGAUACAGGAAUACAUAGGAUAAAUUAUAAUUUUAACUUAAUUAUCAAUUUAAACCUUUCAAUAUUGUUUGUUUAAAUAUUAAAAGAAACAUUAAGAAGAUAUGGUUUGUUAAGGUUUUUCAUAUACAUGUUCUUAUUCAAACUUUCCAAAUUAUUUAAAGGAUAUAACAAAAAUAACAUUUUGUAAAAUUAUUUUAAUCGCUCUAUUCUUGGCAGAUCGCUACGAAGAACGAAUACUUCUAACACAAAAAUGGAGGGUCAGGCUCAUUUUCAGAAGAGUUCAACUCCCCGCCAAUCUUUAAAAGUGGCCACCAUAUAACUUCAUCAAGUAUCCAAGUGUCUGAUAUGUAUCCACGUUACAUAUUAGACAUGGAUUGUUGGAACACAACUUACAAUAUGAUGUCCUAUCAUUGCAGAAGGUGCUCCUUAUUACAUAAACACAAUUCAUGAUAUUAAUUCCACUUUCUAUUGAUCUCAAUGAUAGGUACUGAUGAAGUUGAUUUAAUGUUUUUGGAGUAUUCAAAUUAUCUUUUAGCAUUAGCCUUUUAGUGUCAUUUUGCUGUAAUACAUCAAUAUAUGUUAUUAAACUUUAAAGUUAACUUGAGAUAAACAUCUUCUACUUAAUAGUUGGUUUCAGUGAUGUCGAUAGCCUCAAAGAUUAUUGUUCACAAAUCAAAAUUCCAUCAAUCGCUUAUCAUCUCUUGUUCUCCAUCCUCCUUUCAAAAACAGUUGUUCGACUUGAUUAAAAUUAACAAUUGCAGUAAGCAAUGCUACUAAGAACUAAAUAGAUUUAUUGUUACAAAUAUGAUAUUUCAGCAUAGCAGUAGGAUUCCUCAUCAAACCCUUUCUAUGAUCUUGUUCUAUCAUAGGUAAAUCUGUAGGAAUUCUGAGUUUGAACCCUGCCUCAUGAAUUGCUUUUCUAUUUGAUCAAAAUUAAUCCUGGUGGCAAGCAAUGCUGCAAAUGGCCAAACUGAUUACAUCUCACGAUAUGAUAUCUUACCAUAAUAGUAGAGAUCCAUAUGCAUAUUCCAUCAUUGAACCCGAUUUAUGAUCCAAAUUCCACUCUCUACUCAUUUCAACAGUAAGAGCUGAUGUAUCUUUCCUUCAGCAUUCAAUAUAUUCAUUAACAUUAAUUUUUGGUGUCAGUUUGCUAAUGAUACAUAAAUAUCAGUAUAUCAUCUAUCCAAUCUGAGAUGGAAACUUUAGGCAAUGUCAAUGGCCUCAAAGAUCAAUGGGUAUUACUUAGAAAUUCUGUUCUCCGUCUAUUAUUUUUUGCCACCUCCCUGGCCUGAGAAAUUUUUGCAUUGCCACUGGCUACACUUAUGCUAUCAAACAAUGACAUAAUCUUCCAUCUCUUUAAGGCUCAACUAUGAAUUAAUCAAUCUAAAAGAAUUUCCUUACAUGGUGUUCCAAACAGUAGGCAUGUAAGAUAAUCAUGAUUGUUACUUAAUAUAAGAUCCAUUUUCUGGGGUUUCAUCUCAAUAUCAUAUCACACAUCAUUCCAUAAGUUACUGACAAAAAUUGGAUAUUCAUUUCUUCUGCCUUUUUUCCAUGAUUUAUCCUGCUUAGGGAAAUAAAAUAUAACUAAUAGGCAAAUUAAAAUAAAAAGCUUACUAGUUGAUGUAAGUGGAGAUAUAGAAAACAGAAUAUAGUAGUUGUUUCUUUGUCUAUGCUGUAUGGAUAAAUACCUCUUCCAUGACAAAGCAAAAGUGGCAAGGAGGCAGCUCUUCUUGCAGCUGCUUGAGAGCUUUCCACCUUGUUCUUCAAGCUCCUAGAAAACAGAAGAAUGUCAUUGCAGAUGGGUUUUGUUUAGACUCAAAUACAAAUAAUGGUGAGUGAUGAUAGGAGAGACCUGGAACAUGGAAGCCAGCCACUUAGACCAACAAUUGCACUUAAGUUGACAGGGUAAGGAUUGCCAUUUCCAUAUUUUCCAUGAGCGAAACAAGUAGCAGAAUAGAGUGCAGUAGCAGCACCCAUGCUAAAACCACCAACACCAAUCUUGACUGUAGCAACCAGCCCAAAUAAGUCAGUAACUAAUCCAAACACAAAAAGAGCAGAGCAUCCAACAGACGUGAUAUUCAUGGUCUAUAUUAACUUGAAACGCAUCAUACAUAUCAACACAGAUUAGGGCUGAAAUCAGAUCGGUUAUAAAUUGGAUACUAGUAUAUCCACAUCCAUAUUUGUUUUGUUUGACAAAUACAGAUACGGAUAUAGAUGUUAGUCGGAUGGAAAAAUUCAUACCAAGGUUUGUUGUCUCAAUACCAGACCCUGUAUCAAUGCCACACGAGCAUUGUGUCGCUAUGAUAUGGUACGGAAUCUUUUCAGUAUACCAAGUGUCGGUACGCCACUAGUACUGAGUACCGGUACCGAACCAGUACGGUACGCCCCGUACCAUCUAGUUCGGGCCAACACAGCGAACUAUAUUCCUAUCCAUAUUUAUUUUAAAUGGAUACAAAUCAGAUAUUGGAAGUAUGGAUAAAAAUAGGAAUAUAAGUCAGAUAAUUAAACUUUAUGACCAUGAAAUCAAAGCUAUUACUAAGUAGAAAGUAAAUCAAGUUAAUAGCAUAUUAAUGUGGUCAUUUAUUUUCAUUAAAAUUAAUGAGUAAUAAAAUUAAAUAGUACAAAUACAAUUGGAUAUUGGAUAUAGAUCGGGUGGUUGUCUAUCCAUAUCCAUAUCCAUUUUUCUUUGAUAGAUACAUAUACGAAUACAUAUAUUAGUUGGAUACUCAAAUUUUUAUCCAUGUCCAGAUAGAUUUGGAUACGAAAAUAGAUCUAGACGGAUAUUAUCUGAUCCACUUUCAUCCUUAACACAAAUGCACAUGUUUGAAAUUUUUUGAAGAUUUUAUGCAGACAUACCAACCAAGGCUUCACAUUCUUUUCUUUCAUGAGGUUUGAUGGUGUGACACCCUUUACGUUUCUAUAACCUCCUUCUACACAGUUUAUAUCUGGUAAAGUAAGAGGUGCUUUCAUUAUGUGCAGUUUGCUGACCAUUUAGCAUGACUAAUUAAAAGAAAAGAUGACACCAAUUCUGAACAAAUUCAACGUAUAAAAAAAUACAUAGCCUUAAAAAGAUUCCAACAACUUUAUCCUUGGAAACAUACUAUCAGCAGGCUCUGUUGAUAAUAGGUUUGCAACAUGUGCAGCUGAAGCAUCCAUUCCCUCAACAUCAUCAGGUCCAUCUUCCGAUAGGUCCCCAACAUCAAACCCUAAAAGUCAAGAGAAAAAUAAAAGGAUCCCCAUCAAAAUUACAUCAUAAGAUCUUCAAUAACACCUAUAAGGCAUUCUAAUUAUACGCACGUAUAAUAGAAGUGGUAAGUAUAUAGUUCAAGGUCAAAUGAAGCAUAGCCAGGAAGCUCACAAUAAUAAUAAAAUAAAUUUUCAAGUAUAAAUCAUAUUCAAGCUAGUGAACUCACAUGCAGUGCAAGGGAAUCCACCAAAAACUGCUACAGGUCGAGUAGGUGCUGUUGGACAUAUCCACUUAAUCUGCAUAAGUGACUAAGUUAACGGAGGUCAUGAUAGAAACCCAACAAAUGACAAAAAUUACACAAGGAUGUAUGAGCUUCUUAUGGUGAAAGAUGAAGGGGGUUAGAGAGAAAUGCUUAGGGCAUCUUAGAUUAACCUCAUAAACAACUUAAGAAUAUCAUAUUUCCUAUUCUUACAUUGGGAAGAGGAAGGGUCUCCAAGAGUUGGGACCAGCUGCAGAAGAAAGAACCAAAAUGCAACAAUAUCAGGAAGGAAUUCAUCAGAAUUUUUUUCAAACUAUAUGGAUUGUACAACUGAAUGAGAAAUAGAUAUCUGAGUUUGUCAAAGAAAGCUCUAUGAAUGAUAAUGUACCUGUCAAAGCUUUUUCGUAAAAAGUAAAAUAACACAAUAGUAAACACAAUCCAUGUCAGUCACCUUAAAGAAAGCAUGAGGAUGCAUUUUUUAUGCACCUUAUGAGAAUACAGGGUUUGUUGCAAAUGUUUUUCACAGACCCCAAGAUAGAAUACAGAACAUACAAAUGAGAUUAGAUAGUCCUUUUACGCAUUUUUUCUUUAUUGGUUCCCAGUAUUUUAGUUUAGAUCAAGGUCCGCCGAACCGGCACCGGAACCCAUACUAGUCAGCACCCAGUACGGCUCAGUACGGUUUGGUACUGUACCAGGGCUGGUAUGGGUAGGGCAUGCCGGAGGCUCUCUCCGUUACUUUUCCUUCCCAAACAAUCAAAAAAUCGCCAAUUCAGCAGCUCAAAGAAAGAUCCAAGCCUAAAUCGGGUGUGCUUCCUCUCUCUCCUAUCUCAUUUUCUCAAUUUUUUGGGAGAUUGAAAAAAUAACUCGAAAAUUGCAAAAUAAAGAAAGAUCAAGCGAGAAUUUUCGAUUUGGGUUUGAUUUUAUUAUAUGUUGUAGAUCUAUGGAUGAUCUACAUAAUGACAUAAAAAUGUUUAAUUUUUAAAUUAUAUAUAAUUUUUAAAAUUAAAAAUAUUUUUUUGGAUUAAAAAUAUAUUAAUUUUUUAAAAUUAAAAAAAAUAAAAAAAAAUGUAAAAUCAGAAACAUAUUUAGGGGCAUGCAACCUACUCUCCAUAAAAAUUUGGUAUCCAUUCAUUCAAGUUUUGAUGCGAUCAUGCGCACAGUUGCCCAAACCUAAAUUUGAAAAAAAAAUGAGAAAUAAGUAGCUUUUGAUAAAUGCCCAAGAGUUUAGAAAAAUAUAUGUAGCAUCCAUUGUUGGGUUUUACAUAAAUCUGAGUUGAAAUUAAUUUUUUGAAAUAUUAAUAUUUAAAUAGUAGUUUUAAAUUUGAAAAAUAAUUAAAAAUAUAUGGAGGAUCCUCUCCAAGGGCUAGCUAUCCGAAUUCUCUUCCAGACAGUCUUCUCGAGUGGCUGUGAGCGCAACUGGUCCACUUUCGCCCUCAUCCACAACAAGCAGAGGAACCGUUUGACACAGAAGCGCCUCAACGACCUUGUAUAUAUUCAUUACAAUCUAAGGUAGAGGCUGAAAUGUAUUCAAGAAGAAAGUAGAGCUCAAGUACACAAAUCCAAUCCAUAGUGUUUUCGUUGAUGAUGACGAUGAUCUUAUGAUCGGAUGGCUUGUGGGCCAGCAAUAGGAGCUGGAGCUUUAUGAACGAGGAUCGCCUCCACGAUCGGCCAGUUUUAUAGGCAGCAAGGCUAGGGUCGAUGCAGGGCAAUGGGUUGAGCGCAAUAUUCCACGUAUCCUUCCAGCUGAUCAGCCACAGCCACAAAAGAGCCAGUCACCACAUAAUUUCUUGUCUGAGACAUUCUCUCAGAGAUAUUGAGAGAGGCUUAGACGAGGCCAUUAUGCGACUCGGUCGACUUGGUCAAGAGGGCGAUAUACAUCCUCCCAAUAUAGCCAGACAGAAAGGGGCACAAAAGGUAAGAAAACAGCUACCCAGCACACUAAACAAGAAAAGCAAGACACAUGCAGCCCCAAUGGAGAGUGUUGAGCGGUUAGCCCACUCAAAUUCAAAGACCAGGAGUAGCAGUUCUGGUGGUCAUGGAUCUGUUGGCCAGAAAGGGAGUGAAGGACAAAAAACCACCGUUUAUGAGACAACCGCAGGAUAGUCUUCGAUUCACCGGUGAGCUAGUUCAUGCAUGUUACACAGGAUAGGGACCACGAUGCACAAUCUGAUAGAGCCCGCGAAGAUACGAUUGCACAUAGAAGACGGGCUCCUCGAGGUCAUUCUGGAGGACAUGAUGCAACUGCAGAUGAUCUCGUACAUGGAGUAGGAUCCAUAGACAUAUCCAGUUCCGAAUCGUAUACUAUAUCCUAUUAUCCACAGCCACAAGCAACCUAUGAUUCAUAUGGAUACGGAAAUGGAUAUGGUGUGUCUAAGGCAUCUUCCGGUGGCUACUAUCCUACACAGCUCGGAGUAUCUCAUGAGUUGAAUUUUGCUGCCGGCUCCUCUACAGCCGUAUUAUCAGCGAGAGGACAGCUCUUAGAGCUAGAGCUUCGGCGAGAAGUUCAAGAGUGUUUAUAACUCGGUGCACAUUUUUUUAUGGGAUAAACAUACAAGACUACAACGCCGAUUAAUUAGAGAAGUGGGUUGAUAUGCCUCCUGACUAUGCUGAUGAUCUAGAUAUCUAUGAAAGUCAUCGCUACUCGACCCAAUUUUAGAUAUCGGUACGUAUGUUGUACUUUAAAUGUAUGUAAUUGAUUGUAUUAUUUUAUAAUUUUUAUGUCACUACUUGAUUUGAAAAUAUUUUAUAUUGUUUCUUGUAGCAUGCAACAUCUCACUAAUCAUUUUAUAAUUUAUAUUAUUUUAAAAUAAUAAGAUGCAUUAUUUAGGUUAAAUCGGUAUCAUAGAAGCAUCAAAAAAUAUCAAGAAAACACACAAAAAAUAUUAAAUUAGAUUUAAAAUCUAUGAAAAAGUUCAAAAAAAAGUAAUUACCAAUUAAAUAUUACAAAAAACUCUCCCCCCAAAAACAUGGGCGUGCCGGCACGCGCUACCCAUGCCGGCACGCGCUACCCAUGCCGGCCCCAAUACGGUAUCGAACCAGUACCGAACCGCACCGAUUGCCGACCAGUACGAAUCUCGGUACCAGUUCGGCAGACCUUGGAGCUAACACAUUGAGCUUAUAAUUUAGCUAUAAUCUUCUAUUUGGAUAGUUAGUCUUUCGCAGUUUUAAAACCCUUAAGUAUAUCGAGAGAUAUGUGUGAAGUCAUGCCUUUUAUGUGUUAAAAAUUCAAUUUGACUUGGAAUGAAAUUCUUCUCUUCAAGGAAAUUAUAAUAUGUAUGAUAAAUAAUAAAUAGCUUGAAGUAAGAAAUUAUAACUUGAAAUAUACAUAUCUAUGGAUACGAAGAUUCUGAAGUCAAGAAUUAUCAUGUCACUAAAACUAAAAGAACUAUUGACAGUAAUUCAGGAAAAGAAUACUCCAUUAUACAAGAGGUACAAGCAUAACAGUUAGUUAAACAAAACUUUGUAAUGACACCAAGCACUGAUGUUCAUAAGCUUAUUUGUUCAAAUCAUAGUGUAUUAAUGUACAAGUUAAACAAAUUGAUAUUUGCGAUUCAUCAAUGUGCAAAAAGGUGUUUGAGAGACAGCAAGGUGAAACGGAAAGCAAAACACUAAACAAAGUACUAAAAUUUCUCAUAAUGUCUAAUGUGUUGCUAGAACCUAGAAAAAGUACCAAAACAAAUGAAAAAUCUGAUAUGCCAGUUACAGCACAAGCUACUAACUUAAUGGUCCCAGAAUCUAGCCAUCGAACAAGUCUGGUCGAUGAAUGACCAACCCUGGCCCACCAAUAAAAGAAAAGGAAAAAAAUUGAGAAAGAAAAUGAGUUUUAGUAUUUCGUAUUAUAUUCAUAAUUUUAUUGCCCUCUUCUUGUUGAACCAAUUAGAAUGGAGGCCUCAUAUGAACCAGAAGUAGUUUCCAUACAGUAAAACAUGAUUCCUUAUGUAAUGGCAAUAGGGCAUCCACAUUACCCAACUUCUAUUCCCUCUUUAGGCAUUGAAAGGAAAAACAGGCAUAUGCUUUAGAGAGCAAUAAUAAGACAUGCUAAGCAUCUGAGUGAAUGCAAUACCAGGUACAAUUUCUUGGAACAAGAAAAUGAAAAACAUGAUAAUCAUCGAAAGCAAAGCUUAGAAUAAAGCUAAAUACACAAUGAUUCAAAACAUUUUUUAGCAGCCACCUAAUCUAGACAGAGGAGUGCUGAUGUGUAUGCCCAGCCAAGUUUUGUGUCACACAGCUUGCAUAAGACAAUCGCUGCCAAUGAAGACUAUACUCCUAUCAGGAUGUGAGAUUGAAACUACACACAGCUAAGGCACUCAUGUGAUGCAAUCUAAUGUCUCAAAUUAUAAAGCAAAAGAUUUCUACAGUCAUUACCAAAAGCAUGAAAGCCACAGUAGUCACCAAGUCACCUAAAUUAAAGACAAUGGUAUUAAUAAUGAAAGAGCAAUAAAUAC